ACCUGGCUGGCUCAGUGGGUAGAGCAUGUGACUGUGGGUCUCGAGGUUGUGAGCUUGAGUCCCACGUUGGGUG
rnacentral:tRNA from 1 species